rnacentral:rRNA from 1 species
UGGCUCAGGAUGAACGCUAGCUACAGGCUUAACACAUGCAAGUCGAGGGGCAGCAUGAAGUUUGCUGCAAACUUGAUGGCGACCGGCGCACGGGUGAGUAACGCGUAUCCAACCUGGCCCGCAGUAGGGAACAGCCCGGCGAAAGUCGGAUUAAUGCCCUAUGUCUUCCUUUGCAGGCAUCCAAUGAGGAAGAAAGAUUUAUCGCUGCGGGAUGGGGAUGCGUCUGAUUAGCUUGUCGGCGGGGUAACGGCCCACCGAGGCGACGAUCAGUAGGGGUUCUGAGAGGAAGGUCCCCCACACUGGUACUGAGACACGGACCAGACUCCACGGGAGGCAGCAGUGAGGAAUAUUGGUCAAUGGGCGAGAGCCUGAACCAGCCAAGUAGCGUGCAGGAACCGACUGCCCUAUGGGUUGUAAACUGCUUUUAUGCGGGGAUAAACUUCAGCACGUGUGCUGUUUUGCAGGUACCGCAUGAAUAAGGACCGGCUAAUUCCGUGCCAGCCGCGGC